UCUGGUACCUUUGACUCUUUUUUUUUGUCAAAUAUAUUGUAGUAAAGAGGUACCUAAGUUCCGGUGUAUCUUUUGUGCUGUUCUCUGGUGUAGCUUCUGCUCCAAAGUUCUGAUACCUUUGACUUUUUUGGUAUUACGUGUGACCUGGUGAUACAUGCUUUCAGAGAUUCAGCCUCGUUUUAGUCAUUCCCUUGUCCUCAAUGAUUGUUGCAACUCUGCAGAAUUAUCGAUCAUUUGCUAUUAUAUGCUAUCCUACUUCUUUAGGUGACAAGGCGAACAUUGUUGGAAGUUGCCACAUGUGCUGCUCUGAUUCUUCCCCACGUGAGAAAUGCCGUGAAGAUGCUUAAUUGAAAGAAAGAUGAUAUAUAAUUUUUCAUAAGCCGAAAUUUGCAUAAGAAUCGGAUCAAGACAAAUGGCAAGAUCGAAGUCGUCAUGAUGAAUGCAAUGAGGUUCCAUGACUCUUCUUCACAAAGAGAUCGACAUGAUUGAACCUUUUUUGGACUUAGAAGCUCGAUGACGCAUAUCUUACGCAUUUGUCUCCAGUAGUCACCAUAGGGGCUAAACACGAUGUCACUAUAGUUGUAUCCAAGGAUUUCAGCAGUUAGAAGCUUGGGUCUGCUUGCGAAACAUAGAUCGUGGGUUUUCAUGAUUUGUUUGGCAACAGGAGGAGACGAGAUUAAGAUGGUGGACACCUCCCCGAGUUGUAGAUGAACCACCGGUCCUAGUUUUUUGGCUAAAUUUGCCAGAGCUCGGUGUGGUUGUGAUCCCGAGAGAUGAUGCAAGUGCCCAAGAAAUGGGAGCUUCCAUGGCUGUGGAGGAAGUUUUUUGUUUGCAUCAAUUGAGUGUAAGCUUUUGAAAUCCAUGAUGAAGAACAUUAGAGUGAUAAUGAAAACGAUAAAAGAUAUAGUAGUAAACUGAAACUCCAUUUUACUUCAAGUUAAGCAUUUGUCAUCGACUCAUGGGUCCAUAUGUGAAUUUAUAUUAUUUCUUUACCAUGACAAUUGAUGUAACAGUGACUUUUUUGGUUUUAUCUAAAUUUUAGUUUAUAUACUA